rnacentral:rRNA from 1 species
GACGAACGCUGGCGGCGUGCCUAAUACAUGCAAGUCGAACGCUUUUUCUUUCACCGGAGCUUGCUCCACCGAAAGAAAAAGAGUGGCGAACGGGUGAGUAACACGUGGGUAACCUGCCCAUCAGAAGGGGAUAACACUUGGAAACAGGUGCUAAUACCGUAUAACACUAUUUUCCGCAUGGUAGAAAGUUGAAAGGCGCUUUUGCGUCACUGAUGGAUGGACCCGCGGUGCAUUAGCUAGUUGGUGAGGUAACGGCUCACCAAGGCAACGAUGCAUAGCCGACCUGAGAGGGUGGUCGGGCACACUGGGACUGAGACACGGCCCAGACUCCUACGAGAGGCAGCAGUAGGGAAUCUUCGGCAAUGGAAGAAAGUCUGACCGAGCAACGCCGCGUGAGUGAAGAAGGUUUUCGGAUCGUAAAACUCUGUUGUUAGAGAAGAACAAGGAUGAGAGUAAAACGUUCAUCCCUUGACGGUAUCUAACCAGAAAGCCACGGCUAACUACGUGCCAGCCGCCGCAGUAA